rnacentral:lncRNA from 1 species
CCUUUUUUCUGCUCUUUCUUCUUUGAAUCCCACCUUCAUCCAUAUCAUCAUUUCCCCUCAUAUUUAUCCACUCUGUACUUUUUAUACAAAGGAAGCUUUACUUUGGAGACGGGGCAGCUGAUUGUAGAUGCAAUAUUUGAACCUCAAACUACACGAACUCAGCUUUAGAUUCUAUGUCAUCUGCAUUGGCUGAUCACUUGAUUCCCACCAUUAAAACCUAGCCAAAAAUAUACAUACAAGAGAUGUAAAGAAAGGGUUUCCACAACUUACCUUGUAGCGUUAAAAUUCAUCAAAAUAUAUGCAGAGAAAUCAAUGAGAGAAUAUUCGUUGAUGGGUUUUUUCUUGAAUUAAGAAACCAAGAAAACAUUUUGGAAAUUUUGAUUAGCCAACAGAUACGCGUAGGCAACGUGUGCUUUGCGUGUUAGGUAAUCUCAUUUUACAUAUAUACCUACAUAUAUCAUCAAUC